AAUUGAAGAGUUUGAUCAUGGCUCAGAUUGAACGCUGGCGGCAGGCCUAACACAUGCAAGUCGAGCGGUAGCACAGAGAGCUUGCUCUCGGGUGACGAGCGGCGGACGGGUGAGUAAUGUCUGGGAAACUGCCUGAUGGAGGGGGAUAACUACUGGAAACGGUAGCUAAUACCGCAUAAUGUCGCAAGACCAAAGUGGGGGACCUUCGGGCCUCAUGCCAUCAGAUGUGCCCAGAUGGGAUUAGCUAGUAGGUGGGGUAACGGCUCACCUAGGCGACGAUCCCUAGCUGGUCUGAGAGGAUGACCAGCCACACUGGAACUGAGACACGGUCCAGACUCCUACGGGAGGCAGCAGUGGGGAAUAUUGCACAAUGGGCGCAAGCCUGAUGCAGCCAUGCCGCGUGUGUGAAGAAGGCCUUCGGGUUGUAAAGCACUUUCAGCGGGGAGGAAGGCGUUAAGGUUAAUAACCUUGGCGAUUGACGUUACCCGCAGAAGAAGCACCGGCUAACUCCGUGCCAGCAGCCGCGGUAAUACGGAGGGUGCAAGCGUUAAUCGGAAUUACUGGGCGUAAAGCGCACGCAGGCGGUCUGUCAAGUCGGAUGUGAAAUCCCCGGGCUCAACCUGGGAACUGCAUUCGAAACUGGCAGGCUAGAGUCUUGUAGAGGGGGGUAGAAUUCCAGGUGUAGCGGUGAAAUGCGUAGAGAUCUGGAGGAAUACCGGUGGCGAAGGCGGCCCCCUGGACAAAGACUGACGCUCAGGUGCGAAAGCGUGGGGAGCAAACAGGAUUAGAUACCCUGGUAGUCCACGCCGUAAACGAUGUCGAUUUGGAGGUUGUGCCCUUGAGGCGUGGCUUCCGGAGCUAACGCGUUAAAUCGACCGCCUGGGGAGUACGGCCGCAAGGUUAAAACUCAAAUGAAUUGACGGGGGCCCGCACAAGCGGUGGAGCAUGUGGUUUAAUUCGAUGCAACGCGAAGAACCUUACCUGGUCUUGACAUCCACAGAACUUAGCAGAGAUGCUUUGGUGCCUUCGGGAACUGUGAGACAGGUGCUGCAUGGCUGUCGUCAGCUCGUGUUGUGAAAUGUUGGGUUAAGUCCCGCAACGAGCGCAACCCUUAUCCUUUGUUGCCAGCGGUUAGGCCGGGAACUCAAAGGAGACUGCCAGUGAUAAACUGGAGGAAGGUGGGGAUGACGUCAAGUCAUCAUGGCCCUUACGACCAGGGCUACACACGUGCUACAAUGGCAUAUACAAAGAGAAGCGACCUCGCGAGAGCAAGCGGACCUCAUAAAGUAUGUCGUAGUCCGGAUUGGAGUCUGCAACUCGACUCCAUGAAGUCGGAAUCGCUAGUAAUCGUAGAUCAGAAUGCUACGGUGAAUACGUUCCCGGGCCUUGUACACACCGCCCGUCACACCAUGGGAGUGGGUUGCAAAAGAAGUAGGUAGCUUAACCUUCGGGAGGGCGCUUACCACUUUGUGAUUCAUGACUGGGGUGAAGUCGUAACAAGGUAACCGUAGGGGAACCUGCGGUUGGAUCACCUCCUUA
rnacentral:rRNA from 1 species